GCUUAUUUGCCAUCUGCCUAUCCUUUUUGGUGAAAUAUCAGUUCAUGUCUUUCAGCCAUGUUUAAUUUUUUUUUACUGUUGAGUUUUGAAAGUUCUUUAUAUAUUCUAGAAGAUGCAAAAUGUUUGUCAGAUAUUGGCUUGCAAAUAUUUUCUCCCAGUCUGCAGGUUGUCUUUUCACCCUCUAAACAGAGUCUUUCACAGCAUGAAACAAAUGGAGGCUUUAAAUGGCCAUUUCAGAAAAGCCUGACCUAGCCUUGAGAGCGUCGGACACGGUCACUCCACCGGUUCCCACUCACGAGGGCAGAUCAUGGGUUUAAAUCCCAUUUGGGUGUGCUAAUUCAGCUUCACAAUAGCUCACCCACCAUGGGCUUAACGCUAUUCAGUGGCCACAGGUGAGUGUGUUUCAGGACAUCACAAAAAGAUAAGCUGAGAAAGAGUGGCCCACCGCUGCCAGAACAGCUUGAGGGCAAGUCCCCACUGACCCGGAAAGUGAGUCAGUUGCAUCACCCCCUUAGAAACCUGGAAAAUGCUUCAUCAUCGGUGUAGAGCGAGAGCCAGCAUUCAAAACGCCAGGGGGCUUAUCAGGCCAUUUCACCACAACAUAAAGUAACAGGCAGACUUGAAUUCAUCUGGCACUGUUGACCAACACAGAGAGCCAAAACACACACGGAAUUCAAAAUCAGAAAUAAUCCCAAGUUUGAGUCAUCCAAUGUGCUUGUCUACAUUGAUUGCACUCACCAGAUAAAAGUCCAAUGCACUCUGUGGGGUGAAACAGCCUCUGUCUCAGGUUGGGAGUUGCUGCCAUGGAGACCACAAGAGUGGAGAUUUUCUGACACACAGAAAGGAAUGGAUUACAGCUCCUUCUUAUGUAAAUUUCCAUGGAGGGGAAAAAAGAUUAAAAGGAAAAUAAUUCUGCUUUAGUCGUUUUCCUUUAAGGUGAUAAGAUCCUUUGAUUCCAUCGUGGAGAAGAAGGCAACAGCUGUUUGUCACAAAUGCUAUUUGAUGCACCUGCUAUUAUUACUCUUAUUACCAUUUUCCAGUGGGAAGCUGCUUCUUGGGCAGGGUGGAUUUCCAUCUGCGUCUCCUUUUCGGUGUUGAAAGCUGAUGGGAAAUGUGCCAACGUCACAACAAGGUUUGAGGGAGGCACAUCUCAUGCUCGGACAUGAACACCCGAUCAUCAUGCUUAUGAACUACAAAAGGAUCUCCAGUAUGGGCUCACGGCAGUUGGCCCUUGAAUAACAUGAAUUUGAACUGCCUGAGUCUGCUAAUAUGUGGAUUAUCUUCUGCUUCUGCACCCUGAGACAGCAAGACCAACCCUUCCUCUUGCUUCUUUUCCUUAGCCUAUUCAACGUGAAGAUGACUAAGUUCACAGAGUUUGAGAGAAACUGUAUUCAAGUUGCUGAAACCAAGAAGCUACACUCACGAGUCUCACCUAAACUCGAAUCUGAUUUAGAUGACAUCAUCCUGGACUUUGAGUUGAUGAAACCUUGGAGGUCUUGGGAGUAAAGCAAGUGUGAUUUGCAUAUGAUGGAUAUGAAUUGUAAUGGCCAGAGCAUGGCUGUGAGAUGAAAACUCCCAUUUUAGGGAACCAAGACUGAAUUCCAUAAUUUACAUGGAUGUUUGGAAGGUGUCUGCAACUUAAUCUGUGUUCGUUUCUGAGAUGUUGGGCAACUCCUUCUUGGAAGAUGUGGUAAUGGUCUCUUCGAAAAGAAAAUAAUCAUCUGAGUUUUGGCCAAAAUAGUUGAUCGGAUUACCUAUGAAAAUGACUCUCACCCAACUACAAGAAUGUUAUGAUGUAGAAACUCUAAAUAUAUGAGUAAUUAACUAUACAACACUCCAUCCCCAUGUGAAAAUCUUUAAUCUUUUAAGAUACUGAAAUUUUGUGUAUGUCUCAUAAUUUUCUGUAUAUGGUCAAUGAGUUUUGCCUUAGCCAUAAGUGGUCUGUCUGAAAUCUUCUCUAUUAUUUGUGCAUUUUCUUCCUGAUGUACCAAGCCUAGUCUGUUUGUUUUUUCCUAAGAGAAAAGCAGAUGAUUCAACUGUGUAUUUCUCAGUGUUGAUAUUGUGGUUUGAGGUAUUUCAUAAUCUUGAGUAAAAUCUUGUCAAUUUUAUGCUAUGCCUUGUGGGAACAUAUUUUUACUUUUAAGUCUCUUUGGCAAGUGGAGCUUCCUUUGUGUUUCCUCACCAAAUGUAUUCCCCAUUGUUUUCUGAUUAAUUCUUUUUCAGAAUGUUUACUCCUUCUUACCUCAAUGUCAUUACUUUUCAGUCUUGGCUUUGGGUAAACCUAGGACAAGAAUUGGAUAUCCAAAGCCAAUUUCAAUAUAAAAACUAUAAUAUCUAUCAAAAUCUAUGUAAAAUCCUGUGUAUAUUUCUCUUCUUUGUUGAACAGGGGCUUAUAAUCAUGUAGGUAAAUACACGUGGUUUUGAUUUCAGCACUGAUUACUGAAGAUUUGUCUUCCAUUCUUCUGGGCCAGGCCCAUACACAACCAUAGUUAGAAGUAAAAACUAUUUGUUAUACCUGGAAUGCCUUUCCUUUCAAUCUCUGAAUGUCUAAAAUUACUUUUUCUUUGAAGACCACCUCAGGUGACCCUACUGUGGGGAAAAUGCCUGAAUUAUCUUUGUAAUCCCAGCUCAGCCACUUAAAGAUUGUGUAAGUUUAGUGUCAGCAUAUUACUUAAGUUCUUUUAGAUUUAGUUUCCUCAUAUGUAAGCUGGGGAUAAUAAUACCUACCUCAUAGAAAAUGAAUGAGAAUCAAGUUAUAUAAUAUAUGAACAACACUUGACACUGUGUGUGAACACUCAAUACAUGUAAAUCAUUAUUAUUAGCAAAAUGAUUAUUAGGUUCUCAUGCUAAUCCACAAUUUUUAUUGGCAGAUAUCCAUUAGUUUAUAGUUAAUGUUAUUCAUAAUCUUUUCUUCAUAUUCAAAUAGGAAGAGAUGACUUCUCAAUCUAGUUAAUCCUGGAUGUGUAUUUCUCUUAAUUUAUUGAGUGUAAAAUGCUUAUUUAUAUACAUACAAUUUCCCUUAUUAGUGAACAUCUAGAAGGCAGAAUGGUACUUCAUUUCUUUCUGUAUGUUUAGCACCAAGGACAGUACCUGGCACAUAGAAGAUACAUAUUAAAAACAAAUAAAACAACUCUUAAUGGAUCUCAUUUUAAAAAAAUUCUCGGUUAAUUAUAAAGGCUCUAGUAAACCAAAUAAUUGUAUGUUAACUUAUUUACUUUUAUUACUGUGUUUAUUUUCUCCAACUGCUUCAUCAUACAAAGUAAACACCUGAAUGUAAGCUGCAUGAGGGCAAGAGCUGUGUCUUGUUUACUGCUCUCAAGAACAUUUGAGCAAAGUGCCUGGCACAUGGCAGACACUCAAUAAGUUACAAUUAAUACUCAAUGUAUGAACUGAUCUAUACUUAGAAUUGACUAAGAAGAAUAAGUCUUACACAGACUCAGUCUCUGAGAACUUGAAAAUCUAAGUUUGCAUAUCUCUGCUGUUGUGUUUUCAGGUUACUCAGUAGAAAACCAAGUUAUUUACACAUCCUCAAGUGUCUCAAGGUUAAAUCUUCCAUGCAUAAAAUAUCUGGGCGAUUGAUUGUGUUUCUUACUUUGCUCCUAAGUAUGUUAGCAUCAUAUAGGCAUAGCCUAAGCCAGACCAAAAUGAAUUCAUUGAUUGACUCAACAAAUGUUUAUGGAUCUCAGAUAUUAUAUGGAGAUGGUGUCAAACAACGGGAUGUGCUAUGGAAUUUGAUGUGGAGGCUGAAGGAAAGAGGAAUCUAGGCGGACUCACAGAUUUUUUGGCUUGAGUAACUUGGACAUUAUGGUGAGUUAUUGAACGGAAGUCUAGGGAUUGUUCAACCCCUGAAAACAGACCACAUCCCAUUGCAGGAGGAAAUUUGG
rnacentral:lncRNA from 1 species